rnacentral:rRNA from 1 species
ACGUAGGGUCCGAGCGUUAAUCGGAAUUACUGGGCGUAAAGCGUGCGCAGGCGGUUUUGCAAGACAGAUGUGAAAUCCCCGGGCUUAACCUGGGAACUGCGUUUGUGACUGCAAGGCUAGAGUAUGGCAGAGGGGGGUAGAAUUCCAGGUGUAGCAGUGAAAUGCGUAGAGAUGUGGAGGAAUACCGAUGGCGAAGGCAGCCCCCUGGGAUAGCACUGACGCUCAUGCACGAAAGCGUGGGGAGCAAACAG